CCUCAGUAACGGCGAGUGAAGCGGCAACAGCUCAAAUUUGAAAUCUGGCCGUCCGGCGGUCCGAGUUGUAAUUUGCAGAGGAUGCUUCGGGUGCGGCGCCGGUCUAAGUUCCUUGGAACAGGACGUCAUAGAGGGUGAGAGUCCCGUACGUGACCGGCGACCCAGCCCGUGUGAAGCUCCUUCGACGAGUCGAGUUGUUUGGGAAUGCAGCUCUAAAUGGGUGGUAAAUUUCAUCUAAAGCUAAAUACCGGCCAGAGACCGAUAGCGCACAAGUAGAGUGAUCGAAAGAUGAAAAGCACUUUGGAAAGAGAGUUAAACAGUACGUGAAAUUGUUGAAAGGGAAGCGCUUGCGACCAGACUUGCUCCCGGGCGAUCAGCCGUCCUUCUGGGCGGUGCACUCGCCCGUGAUCAGGCCAGCAUCGGUUCGGGCGGCCGGAUAAAGGCCCCGGGAAUGUGGCUCCCCUCGGGGAGUGUUAUAGCCCGGGGCGCAAUGCGGCCCGCCGGGACCGAGGACCGCGCUUCGGCUAGGAUGCUGGCGUAAUGGUCGCAAGCGACCCGUCUUGAAACACGGACCAAGGAGUCUAACAUCUGUGCGAGUGUUUGGGUGUCAAACCCAUGCGCGGAAUGAAAGUGAACGGAGGUGGGAACCCCUCCGGGUGCACCAUCGACCGAUCCUGAUGUCUUCGGAUGGAUUUGAGUAAGAGCAUAGCUGUUGGGACCCGAAAGAUGGUGAACUAUGCCUGAAUAGGGUGAAGCCAGAGGAAACUCUGGUGGAGGCUCGCAGCGGUUCUGACGUGCAAAUCGAUCGUCGAAUUUGGGUAUAGGGGCGAAAG
rnacentral:rRNA from 1 species